AUUGAACGCUGGCGGCAUGCCUUACACAUGCAAGUCGAACGGUAGCGGGCCUUCGGGUGCCGACGAGUGGCGAACGGGUGAGUAAUGUAUCGGAACGUACCUUUCAGUGGGGGAUAACGUAGCGAAAGUUGCGCUAAUACCGCAUAUUCUGUGCGCAGGAAAGCAGGGGAUCGCAAGACCUUGCGCUGAUUGAGCGGCCGAUAUCAGAUUAGCUAGUUGGUGGGGUAAAGGCCUACCAAGGCGACGAUCUGUAGCGGGUCUGAGAGGAUGAUCCGCCACACUGGAACUGAGACACGGUCCAGACUCCUACGGGAGGCAGCAGUGGGGAAUUUUGGACAAUGGGGGCAACCCUGAUCCAGCCAUGCCGCGUGAGUGAAGAAGGCCUUCGGGUUGUAAAGCUCUUUCGGCCGGGAAGAAAUCGCAUGGGCUAAUACCCUGUGCGGAUGACGGUACCGGCAUAAGAAGCACCGGCUAACUACGUGCCAGCAGCCGCCGUAACAC
rnacentral:rRNA from 1 species